UACGUAAGGGGCAAGCGUUGUCCGGAAUCACUGGGCGUAGAGGGCGCGUAGGCUGUUUGGUAAGUAGAGGGUGAAAGAUUCGGGCUCAACCCGAAAACUGCCUUCUAAACUGCCUUACUUGAGGGUCUGAGGGGAAGCUGGAAUUCACGGUGUAGCGGUGAAAUGCGUAGAUAUCAGGAGGAACACCGGUGGUGUAGACGGCUUUCUGGACCGUAACUGACGCUGAGACACGAAAGCGUGGGUAGCAAACAGG
rnacentral:rRNA from 1 species